AGAGUUUGAUCCUGGCUCACCAAUGAACGCUGGCGGCGUGCUUAACACAUGCAAGUCGAACGAGAACACCCUGCUUCGGUGGGGUAAGUAAAGUGGCGCACGGGUGAGUAACGCGUAGGUAAUCUACCCUUGAAUCGGGGAUAACUUCGCGAAAGCGGGGCUAAUACCGGAUGAAGUCAUUUGGUUUGCGGACCGAGUGAUGAAAGGUAGCCACUGCAAGCAAGCUACUGUUUGGGGAUGAGCCUGCGUACCAUUAGCUAGUUGGUAGGGUAACGGCCUACCAAGGCGACGAUGGUUAGCUGGUCUGAGAGGAUGAUCAGCCACACUGGAACUGGAACACGGUCCAGACUCCUACGGGAGGCAGCAGUGAGGAAUUUUGCGCAAUGGGGGAAACCCUGACGCAGCAACGCCGCGUGAGUGAUGAAGGCCUUCGGGUCGUAAAGCUCUGUCAAGUGGGAAGAAGUUAUCUUGCUUUAAUGGAGUGAGGUAUUGACGGUACCACUGGAGGAAGCACCGGCUAACUCCGUGCCAGCAGCCGCGGUAAUACGGAGGGUGCGAGCGUUAUUCGGAAUUAUUGGGCGUAAAGGGCGCGUAGGCGGUUUAGUAAGUCAGAUGUGAAAGCCCUGGGCUUAACCCUGGAAGUGCAUUUGAUACUACUGGACUUGAGUAUGGGAGAGGGAAGCGGAAUUCCUGGUGUAGCGGUGAAAUGCGUAGACAUCAGGAGGAACACCGGUGGCGAAGGCGGCUUCCUGGACCAAUACUGACGCUGAGGCGCGAAGGCGUGGGGAGCAAACAGGAUUAGAUACCCUGGUAGUCCACGCAGUAAACGGUGAUCACUAGGUGUAGCGGGUAUUGACCCCUGCUGUGCCGCAGUCAACGCAUUAAGUGAUCCGCCUGGGAAGUACGAUCGCAAGGUUAAAACUCAAAUGAAUUGACGG
rnacentral:rRNA from 1 species